UACGUAGGGUGCAAGCGUUGUCCGGAAUUAUUGGGCGUAAAGAGCUCGUAGGCGGUUUGUCACGUCGGCUGUGAAAACCCGAGGCUCAACCUCGGGCCUGCAGUCGAUACGGGCAGACUAGAGUAUGGCAGGGGAGACUGGAAUUCCUGGUGUAGCGGUGAAAUGCGCAGAUAUCAGGAGGAACACCGGUGGCGAGGGCGGGUCUCUGGGCCAUAACUGACGCUGAGGAGCGAAAGCGUGGGGAGCGAACAGG
rnacentral:rRNA from 1 species